rnacentral:rRNA from 1 species
AGAGUUUGAUCCUGGCUCAGGAUAAACGCUAGCGGCAGGCCUAACACAUGCAAGUCGAGGGGCAGCGGGUGGAGUAUUUCGGUACUCCUGCCGGCGACCGGCGCACGGGUGCGUAACGCGUAUGCAACCUACCUUUAACAGGGGGAUAACACUGAGAAAUUGGUACUAAUACCCCAUAAUAUCAUAGAAGGCAUCUUUUAUGGUUGAAAAUUCCGAUGGUUAGAGAUGGGCAUGCGUUGUAUUAGCUAGUUGGUGAGGUAACGGCUCACCAAGGCUACGAUACAUAGGGGGACUGAGAGGUUUUCCCCCCACACUGGUACUGAGACACGGACCAGACUCCUACGGGAGGCAGCAGUGAGGAAUAUUGGUCAAUGGACGCAAGUCUGAACCAGCCAUGCCGCGUGCAGGAUGAAGGUGCUAUGCAUUGUAAACUGCUUUUGUACGAGGGUAAAUGCAGGUACGUGUACCUGUUUGAAAGUAUCGUACGAAUAAGGGUCGGCUAACUCCGUGCCAGCAGCCGCGGUAAUACGGAGGACCCGAGCGUUAUCCGGAUUUAUUGGGUUUAAAGGGUGCGUAGGCGGAUUAGUAAGUUAGAGGUGAAAGCUCGAUGCUCAACAUCGAAAUUGCCUCUGAUACUGUUAGUCUAGAGUAUAGUUGCGGAAGGCGGAAUGUGUGGUGUAGCGGUGAAAUGCUUAGAUAUCACACAGAACACCGAUUGCGAAGGCAGCUUUCCAAGCUAUUACUGACGCUGAUGCACGAAAGCGUGGGGAGCGAACAGGAUUAGAUACCCUGGUAGUCCACGCCGUAAACGAUGAUAACUCGUUGCAGGCGAUACACAGUCUGUGACUUAGCGAAAGCGUUAAGUUAUCCACCUGGGGAGUACGUUCGCAAGAAUGAAACUCAAAGGAAUUGACGGGGGCCCGCACAAGCGGAGGAACAUGUG